AUACGGAGGGUGCAAGCGUUAUUCGGAAUCACUGGGCGUAAAGGACGCGUAGGCGGGUUGGCAAGUCAGAUGUGAAAUCCUACAGCUUAACUGUAGAACUGCAUUUGAAACUGCUAACCUAGAGUAUGGGAGGGGGAGAUGGAAUUAGUGGUGUAGGGGUAAAAUCCGUAGAUAUCACUAGGAAUACCGAAAGCGAAGGCGAUCUCCUGGAACAUAACUGACGCUAAGGCGUGAAAGCGUGGGGAGCAAACGGGAUUAGAAACCCCAGUAGUCC
rnacentral:rRNA from 1 species